rnacentral:rRNA from 1 species
CAGUUGAGCGGAGAUAUAUGGAGCUUGCUUUAUAUAACUUAGCAGCGAACGGGUGAGUAACACGUAGAUAAUCUAUCCUAUACUGGGGGAUAGCCCGAUGAAAGUUGGAUUAAUACCGCAUAUAGCUAUAUAGUUGCAUGAUUAUGUAGUGAAAGAUUUAUUGGUAUAGGAGGAGUCUGCGGCACAUUAGCUAGUAGGUGAGGUAAAGGCUUACCUAGGCGACGAUGUGUAGCCGGUCUGAGAGGAUGAACGGCCACAAUGGAACUGAGACACGGUCCAUACUCCUACGGGAGGCAGCAGUGGGGAAUAUUGCACAAUGGGGGAAACCCUGAUGCAGCAACGCCGCGUGAGUGAAGAAGGUUUUCGGAUUGUAAAGCUCUGUUAGCAGGGAAGAGGAAGGACGGUACCUGCAGAGGAAGCCACGGCUAACUACGUGCCAGCAGCCGCGGUAAUACGUAGGUGGCAAGCGUUGUUCGGAAUAACUGGGCGUAAAGGAUGCGUAGGCGGUUAAACAAGUUAUAUGUUAAAUAUAUAGGCUUAACCUGUAGAAAGCAUAUAAAACUGUUUAACUAGAGUGCAGGAGAGGUAAGUGGAAUUCCUAGUGUAGCGGUGAAAUGCGUAGAGAUUAGGAAGAACACCAGUGGCGAAGGCGACUUACUGGACUGUAACUGACGCUGAGGCAUGAGAGCAUGGGGAGCAAACAGGAUUAGAUACCCUGGUAGUCCAUGCUGUAAACGAUGGGUACUAGGUGUGGGUUGUGAAUAACAAUUCGUGCCGUCGCAAACGCAAUAAGUACCCCGCCU